UUUUAACAAAACAUGAAAGAAUAAGUAGUGACAGCUAAAAAGUUUAAUUACAACUAAAUCUGGUUUACAGUUUGCAGCAU